AUUCUGUUGGCCUGGGGCCGGAAGAAGCACCUGAGUGGAGUCCUCUAUUCUUCUCAGGGGAGGAUGCCCUGUCCCUGGAAACUCAGAAAACCUCAGCUGGGUUGCCUGCCUUUCCUAGAGACAAGAUCAGAUGGGAAUAGUGUAAAGCUUCUGGAGAAAAGGAAAUUCUAAAGAGAGCUAACCACAACUAUAUUAAUAGUUCUGGAACUGCCUCAGGGAAGCCAAGAAAGUGGCCCAGCUGUGCAUGCAUUCCCUGUGGAACCCAACUAUGCUGGAGCAGAGACUCUUGAACAGAAGAUAGCACCAAAUCCUCAGAGUUAUUCUCCCACUAUUUUUUAUUAAUGGCCCAUGAAAAGGGAAAGAAAACAGAUGAUUUCUUUAGUAGAAUUUGUCUCACGAUAAAACUAUUUUCAGUGGGGGUGUAUUUGUUGGUCAAAAAUACUUUACAGAUCUGUUUCUCACACUAAAUUCUUUCAAAUUGGUAAUCACAUUGGCUUUACAUAAUAAUUUUUUACAUGGUUGCACAUAACCUAAUUCCUGAUUUCCAAUGAGAAAAUAUUAUGCAGUAAAGACUGCUUUUAAUGCUACAGUUUUUGGAAUUACAAUAUUAAAGGUCGCAAAACAGUUCAUUAAUUUCAUGUUUUAUACUUCAUUUAGCCAUUUUCCAGUUCUUAGAUAUAUGUCUUAUUUUUAUUGUUAUAAUGAUUAAGAAAAGAUAUGAAGAUCAAUUCUUUAUGAAAAUAUGAUAGGAAUGUAUCAGAAAUAUAGAAAAAAGGAAGACAAAACUACACAUAUCUAUUGCUCUGAACACUACCCUGCAAAGAAGUUUUAAGAUCUCUUAUUCCACCACCAUGCACAUGGAAUUUUUUCACAUUCCUGCAUUUACUCAUUAAAUCAGCUCUUUCAUUCAUUAAAUCAACUAUUUUGUAGCACUAGGUAAUAGGGGAAUAUUCUAACAAACGGCAGUGUAAUAAACAAAGCAGACAAAGCCCUUGAUGUGAGAAACAUCUGUUGAAGGGGAAGAAA